UGCUGGCGUGUGGUGGGCCGUCGGUUUUUUUUUCACGUCCAUGGCUGUUUGAAGAGCGAAUGACAAGUGGGGCUCGUUAUGUGUGGGUCAAAAGAAUGACGUGCCUUUCCUUCAAUUCUGCGUAACAAAAGCAAGAAACCCUAGACGGACGAGGGGUAAAAGGAAAAAGUAAAGCAGCCGCCUUAUCUCCUCGCUCGCUCCCUCCUCUCUCCCACGCCGCCCCGUCCCUCUCCCUGCUCGUCCCCUCAUCUCCUCUUUCCUCGAUGCCGGAUCCCCUGCUUGCCUCUCCGACCUAGGCCAGAGCCUCGCCGGCAGCUCCCCCAAGUCGGCGCCCGCUAGCUGCUGGUGUGGAGCCGAGCUUCUCUGACGGCGACGGCGACGGCGACAAGCUUGUCCAGGUCGUCAUGGCCGGCGACGACGAACGGGAGGGCGGAGGUGUUUCCAUGGCCACCUUUGCCGAGAGCUCGCACAUCUUCAACCCUCAGCCAUGUAUGUGCCUUCUUCUUUGCAUUUCCUUGUUCUAAUUCUUGGCAGUAAUCCUAAUUGAUUUGAUGUUUAGGUUAGUUUUGGGGUGGCUAUUUUUUGGAUCCGCUGCUGCCGUGCGCCGUGCGUCUGGAUCAGGCGCAGGUCGCCGCCAUAGGAGAGCAGGGUGGCGUGGUCUUUGUGGUGGGCAUGGAGCAAGGGAGGAUGAGGCGCUGGUAUGAGGAAAGGAGCACGAAGGUCGGAGUUCCAGGCGGUGCUGGCCGUCGUCACAUGUCCCCAGUCUAGAUCUAAGAAAAAAGAGAAGGGGAUGAAUCUGGAGGAAGAGCUUGGUGAAGAACAAGGUGUUCGUAAUGGCAACGGUGGUAAUCAACGAUGA